GCAUGUCAGGGCGGCAGCAGCAGCAGAUCCGUCCGCUGGAGCUGCUAACUUUCUCCGGCUCUUCAGCAAGCGAGAGAAGGCUGCAGCUGGCAGGCUGCUCUGACAGAAGGGAGAAGGGUCGGGGAAGGAGUCUCCUAGACUUCAGCAAGCAAGGCUCCCUGUAAAGAUUUCAAGUUUUGCUGGACUGUGAGGGCGGCUGCAAAUUGUGUCUCAAUUUGGCUAAUGGUGGCUAGAGCAGACGAGGCGACAGACAGCCAACACAUACACACAGCUGUGAGACGUCUAAAUUACUCUCAGCCUCAGGGAUGGUUCACAAAUUAAGAUAACAUUUCAAGUUUCUUCUCUUGGAACGCCUUCUCACCCAUCCCUGGAGGUCAAAGAAAACAACACUGAUUAAAGAACCUCAUGCAAAUCCACAGGGGACCAUUCAUUUACUGCUUUCCAGCUCCAAUGCUCAUCAAGAUUAUUACACCUCAGAAGCCCGCUCCGUUUCUUCACAAUUCAAUAUGGUGAUUCAUCAUGUUUUAACGGCAGCAAAUAAAACUCACGUAUGGAGCCUUUGA